AUGUACAUUCCUACAACAUAGCAUUAAUGCAUUGGAUCCCAUUAUAAAUCCACUGUUAAGCACACUCAGGAUAGAGUAGUACUGGGAUGGGUGAUCGCUCAAGAAGUCCUAGUGUUUUACAUG
rnacentral:rRNA from 1 species